rnacentral:rRNA from 1 species
GAUGAACGCUGGCGGCGUGCCUAAUACAUGCAAGUCGAGCGAACGGACGAGAAGCUUGCUUCUCUGAUGUUAGCGGCGGACGGGUGAGUAACACGUGGAUAACCUACCUAUAAGACUGGGAUAACUUCGGGAAACCGGAGCUAAUACCGGAUAAUAUUUUGAACCGCAUGGUUCAAAAGUGAAAGACGGUCUUGCUGUCACUUAUAGAUGGAUCCGCGCUGCAUUAGCUAGUUGGUAAGGUAACGGCUUACCAAGGCAACGAUGCGUAGCCGACCUGAGAGGGUGAUCGGCCACACUGGAACUGAGACACGGUCCAGACUCCUACGGGAGGCAGCAGUGGGGAAUCUUCCACAAUGGGCGAAAGCCUGACGGAGCAACGCCGCGUGAGUGAUGAAGGUCUUCGGAUCGUAAAGCUCUGUUAUUGGGGAAGAACAGAUGUGUAAGUAUCUCUGCACAUCUUGACGGUACCUAAACAGAAAGCCACGGCUAACUACGUG